rnacentral:lncRNA from 1 species
AUGAAUUCGUCUGAUUUUCUCAUCUUCUUUUACAUAGAUUUUCAUUGGAUCAAGUUUCUCUGACUCAUUCAAAACAUGAGGAAACUCUGGAAAAAUGGACUCGACAUUCAUAAUUUGCGGGUCCCUCAAAGAGUUUUGGUUACAGAAUUACAUAUAAUUGUUUCUAGAAAAUAUUUUGGAAUAACGUUAAGUGACGCUAAAUCAUGCCACGAAAGUGAUCUUGUAAAUCUGGAGUGAUGAAUGCCGUAAUUAAUUUCAUUUUCUUUCUUCCAUAUUUCAGGGAUAUUUUCAUGCACCUGUAUUCGGGAGUGCUCUCAUAUAUUGUAAGACGGGGAGUGGAGUGCUUAAUGGAUGAUGUACUAUUAACAAUGCUUGAGGCUGUUUCUACAGGGCUAGAAUUUCUCGUUGUCCUUGAGUGAGAUUUGGAUUCUGAAUCAUAAUUCUGAUCAUCUACAAAAAACAAAAAACAUGACUUGUUCUCACACAUUUUGUUACAUGUGCUGUUUCGGAAUCUACACUCGGAGCGGUGGUGGUUGUCUCUUCUGCAACUGAAACAUCUACCAUGCUGACAAGGCAUUAAUAUUAAUGUAAACCAAUGUAUCUUGGAGAACGUCUGCAGACUCCCAUGCAGUGGCUACAUUUACAAGUCAUAGCUAAUGAGUUCUCAUACUAUCGGGAGGAGCACAAGCUCCAAUCACGCAACAUGUUGUGGU